GACGAACGCUGGCGGCGUGCUUAACACAUGCAAGUCGAGCGGAAAGGCCCUUUCGGGGGUACUCGAGCGGCGAACGGGUGAGUAACACGUGAGUAACCUGCCCUGGACUUUGGGAUAACCCUCGGAAACAGGGGCUAAUACCGAAUACGACUUCCGAUUGCAUGAUCUGGGAGUGGAAAGUUUUUCGGUCUGGGAUGGGCUCGCGGCCUAUCAGCUUGUUGGUGGGGUGAUGGCCUACCAAGGCGACGACGGGUAGCCGGCCUGAGAGGGCGACCGGCCACACUGGGACUGAGACACGGCCCAGACUCCUACGGGAGGCAGCAGUGGGGAAUAUUGCACAAUGGGCGGAAGCCUGAUGCAGCGACGCCGCGUGAGGGAUGACGGCCUUCGGGUUGUAAACCUCUUUCAGCAGGGACGAAGCGCAAGUGACGGUACCUGCAGAAGAAGCGCCGGCCAACUACGUGCCAGCAGCCGCAGUAA
rnacentral:rRNA from 1 species